UAUAUGACUUUUAUAAGCUUCUUGUUUGUAUGUCUUCUCUGUACAUUUCUUUCUACAAAAAGAAACUAUAUUUUGAAAUUCUUUUUUUAUUGUUGUUGUUUUCUUGAGACAGGGUCUCACUCUUGCCCAGGCUGAUAGCUGUGACUAGAGGCAUGUACCACCAUACCAAGGUAGUUUUUUUUAUUUUUAUUUUUUGCAGAGACAAGGUCUCACUAUGUUGCUGAGGCUUGCCUCGAACUUCUAGAUCCUCUCACCUCAGCCUCCCAAAGUGCUGGGAUUACAGAUGUGAGACACCACAUCCAGCCUUGAAAUUCUUAAAAAAGUCAACCCAAGAGUCAUUUUUGUUUAAAGUUUGGAAAGACAUGCC
rnacentral:lncRNA from 10 species